rnacentral:rRNA from 1 species
UACAGAGGUCUCAAGCGUUGUUCGGAUUCAUUGGGCGUAAAGGGUGCGUAGGUGGCGCGCUAAGUCAGGUGUGAAAUUUCGGAGCUUAACUCCGAAACUGCAUUUGAUACUGGUGUGCUUGAGGACUGGAGAGGAGACUGGAAUUCAUGGUGUAGCAGUGAAAUGCGUAGAGAUCAUGAGGAACACCAGUGGCGAAGGCGGGUCGCUGGACAGAUCCUGACACUGAGGCACGAAGGCCAGGGGAGCAAACGGG